rnacentral:rRNA from 1 species
UGGCGCACGGGUGCGUAACACGUAUGGAACCUACCUUAUAGACGGGGAUAGCCUUUGGAAACGGAGAUUAAUACCCGAUGGUAAUAUGAGAUGGCAUCAUUUUAUAUUUAAAGAUUUAUCGCUAUAAGUUGGUCAUGCGUCCAAUUAGUUAGUUGGUGAGGUAACGGCUCACCAAGACGAUGAUUGGUAGGGGAACUGAGAGGUUAAUCCCCCACACUGGCACUGAGAUACGGGCCAGACUCCUACGGGAGGCAGCAGUAGGGAAUAUUGGGCAAUGGAGGCAACUCUGACCCAGCCAUGCCGCGUGCAGGAUGAAGGCGUUAUGCGUUGUAAACUGCUUUUAUAUAGGAAGAAAUAGACCUUGCGAGGUAAGUUGACGGUACUAUAUGAAUAAGCACCGGCUAACUCCGUGCCAGCAGCCGCGGUAAUACGGAGGGUGCAAGCGUUAUCCGGAAUCAUUGGGUUUAAAGGGUCCGUAGGCGGUCAGGUAAGUCAGUGGUGAAAGCCCAUCGCUCAACGGUGGAACGGCCAUUGAUAC